GAAAUCCAAUUUUCCCAUUUUGGAAUCCCAGGAAAUCCAAUUUUCCCAUUUUGGAACCCCAGCCCAAAACUGGGCAUGGGAACAGCAGGGAUUGGGAUUUCGGGGAUAAAAAGAGGAGGGAGGAAUAAAUAAAUGAAUAAAUAAAUGAAUAAAUAAAUGAAUAAAUAAAUGAAUAAAUAAAUAAAUGAGAAUUCCAACGAAAACCCCAUAACGUGCAUUCAUUCAGCAUUCCCAGCCCGGAUCCCAGGAUUUCGGGAGGAAUUUGGUUCUUGUGGGAAAACUCUGGGAUUUUCCAGGAUUAUUGGGAAAAAUGGAAAACCUGGAAGGGGGAGGGGAAUCCCAGCUCAGAAAGCUCCAGGUGCACCAGGAAUUGCAGGAAUUGCAGCUGGGAUUCAGGCCUGCAAUCCCAAUCCCUGCAAUCCCAAUCCCUGCAAUCCCAAUCCCUGCAAUCCCAGUCCCUGGAAUCCCAAUCCCAAUCCCUUUAAUUCCAACCCCUGGAAUCCCAACCCCUGGAAUCCAAAUCCCUGGAUUCCCAAUCCCAGCCCCAAUCCCUGGAUUCCCAAUCCCAAUCCCUGGAAUCCCAGCCCCAAGCUGCCAUUGGGAAUAGAGCUCCAAAGGGGGAAAAUCAAUCCCAAAAUUCCCAAAUUUUCUUCCAGGCAGAACCCAGUCCUGCUGUGUCCCAUGGGAUCCCCAGGGAGGGGGAACAAAAUCUGGGAUUGGGAAUGGGAUUGGGAUGGGACAGGAAAUGGGAAUGGGAUUGGGAAUGGGAUUGGGAUGGGAUUGGAAUGGAAUGGGAUUAGGAAUGGGAAUGGGAUUGGGAAUGGGAUUGGGACUGGGAUUAGGAAUGGAAUGGGAUGGGAAGGGACUGGGAUUGGGAAUGGGAUGGGAAUGAGAUGGGAAUGGAAUGGGAUUGGGACUGGGAUCAGGAAUGGGAUUGGGAUUGGGAAUGGGAUUGGGAUGGGACAGGAAAUGGGAAUGGGAUUGGGACUGGGAUUAGGACUGGGAAUGGGAUGGGACAAGGAAUGGAAUGGGAAUGGGACUGGGAUUGGGACCCAGGCAAUCCCAGCCUGGCCUCUCCUCAUUCCCAGUGCUGAUCCAAAGCCUCUGGAUGCUCCUGGAAAACCCAAACAUUCCCUAAUGAACGAGGAGCUGCCGAGCCUCCAAUGA
rnacentral:lncRNA from 1 species